AGAUUAAUGUCAGCAUGCCAGGGAACAUCCAUUCUGGUCAGUAACUUCAAGACAAGCAUAAUCUCAAAAGUACUUUUAUUAGAAAUAGUACCUGGCACAUCUGUGGAAUUCUGAAACUAAAAGUUUCCCGGACUUCCCACAAUUUCCAGGAUAAUAUAUA